GGGGCCUUAGCUCAGUUGGUAGAGCGCCUGCUUUGCAAGCAGGAUGUCAGGAGUUCGAAUCUCCUAGGCUCCA
rfam:Microbacterium sp. XT11, complete genome.